AGUGAACACUGGCGGCAGGCUUAACGCAUGCAAGUCGAGCGGGCAUCUUCGGAUGUCAUCGGCAGACGGGUGAGUAACACGUGGGAACGUACCCUUCGGUCCGGAACAACUCUGGGAAACUGGAGCUCAUACCGGAAACGCCCUUAAGGGGAAAGGUGUCCUGCGGAAGGAUGCGGCGGCGCCUGAUUCGUUGGUUGGUGGGCUAACGGCCUACCAAGGUUACGAGCGGUAGCUGGUAUGAGAGGAUGAUCAGCCACUCUGACACUGGGACGCGGCCGAGACUCCUACGGGAGGGGGCAGUGGGGGAUACAGGAAAAUGGGCGCGAGGCAGAACGAGCCAUGGCGGGUGAGUGAUGAAGGCGGUAGGGUUGUACAGCUCGUUUGUCCGGGACGGUAAUGACGGUACCGGAAGAAUAAGCCCCGGCUAACUUCGUG
rnacentral:rRNA from 1 species